GGAAAACACAAGUUUUGCGGGCAAACCAGGAUCUACUUCAUCUCACCUAGAUAUAGGAACAAAAUUAAAGCAAAAUAUUUAUGUUAGAAUCACAAUGCAUGUAUUUCCUUUUUUGGAGUCUUCUGAGGAAAAGCUCGAGUUUCUCAACCUACACGUUUUUCCUCCUCUUCUAAAUCUACCUGUGCUGUCAGCUUUUUGAGAGGAAAGCAUUACUUCGUUAUGUGUGCACGUAGUGGGUUACACCAAGGCCUGGAUAUCCACUAUGGCAACACUGUUAUGUAUCACAGCAAGAUGAUAGCAUCAAAGACUUCCAAAGGCAGGAUCAUUUCAGGAAGGAAUGGUCGUUUCUCACCUGGGAGAAGAAAUGAAAUGGGAGAAUGUUGCAGAAAAAGCUCAUACAGCUGAGUAGGCACUGGAAACCAGAGCUUCACAAGUUGUCACACAUGCCAGUGAUCCCACACAGAUCAUUGCCAAGCAGUAUAGUGGCCAGAAAAGAGCCAAGAGCUGCUACUGCAAUUGUGGCUUUUAAGAAUAACACUUCUUAUAAGAGAAGUGCACUUCUUCUCAGACUUGGCCAGAGGUCUUAAUAAGUCCUUCUUCAAGUUAACACUUUAUAUGAUCCACUUCCGGAUACCUUACAUAUAGGAGAAAAGGUUAGCAACCAAAUUCUACACCUGAGAUAAAAAUCAUAAAAUCCAAGAAAGUUUCUUUAUUCCUUUUAGUAGCUAACAUUGCGCUAAUAACUUAAGACUGUUGCCUUUUUUAACUUACAGUUUUUUUUAAUUACUCUGCCAAAUUCAUCAUAUAUUCCCUUAAUUAUACAGAAAACCUAGCUUUCUUCUCCAUGUUUCCAUUUCUUUGUUAUGUUCUUAUGAGCUUGCAAAUCUGUAAGCACUUUUUGCCAUUUGCAACCCAAUGUGGGGAGGUCAGGAUGUUUAUACAUCAUUCUGUAUUUUAGUUUUGAUUAUUGCCACUUAAAUAUAAUUACAACAUCCAUCCAGUUAAAAGUUCAGUUUCACUGGAAAUUGCUUUUUUUCAGUGAACCAUUGCUAAUCAAAAAUGUAUGAGCAAUGCUUUCAUAAGUUAAAAAAGGUAAAAUAUUCUCAUAAGUAAAAUAAAAAAUGGAGAGCGAACAACUUUCUGUUCUAACAUGGCCAUCUGUCAUUUAUAAAGACAUCACCCCAUUAACCUGUCUAAUCAACUCCAUUCUUUUUUCAAAGUUGGUUAAGUAAGUUUAUGAGGAGACGUAGAUGUUCUCUUGAUUAAAUCUGUUGUAAAACGGCCUCCCUGGUGUUCUGCUUUGUGUGCAUUUACACAUAUAAAGGUAAUUACACGUACAUAUCACUACUGUAAAUUCCAUGCCUGUCAUAUUACAGUACAUGACAUUUUCAUUUCCUACUGGUGAAAAUGAAAUCUGAUAUUUUCUGUUCAAGCAAUAAUGACCAAUUAGAAUUUGUUAUUAUUAAUGUUUGUCCUAAAAUGCUCCAAGGCAUGAGGUGGUUUCCUCCAAGGCAGUAGAAUUUAUAAUGUGGAAAAAAGGGGUUUGACAUGUUGCUACAGCACCUUCAACCAUUCACUCUCAAGACUGUUAUUCCUUCAAAAAAAAGUAGAUCUCCCUGGAAAACCUACAAUGUAGGCAAGAACAUUACUCAGUUUACAUUUGAAGUGGAGAGCUGAAAUAACUGAUUCUCCUCAGCAGAAAUGUCUCAAGCCUGCCUCUGAUCUUUCCCUGAUGUUCUGCUUUUAUCCCAGGGAUCAGAGCUUAAUUCUUUUUUACAAGUGAAUGUAGCUCUGCGCAACUCUGAGAUAAUAUGUUGCAUCAGUUUCUGACAUUAUUUGGUCAGCUAUCUUCAUUGGGGUACCUUUAGAGUCUUUGGAUUCUACCAGGAACAGAAAAACUCUUGCAAGCUCACCUUUUGAAGAACUGCCCAAAGAAUGAAUACAGAUAACUAUGCUGUAUAUGGGAACCAGAGUAGGAAGGCUUUUAUAAUAUGAAGUCAACAUUUAUGUAAGGAGCCAAAAUACUGAGUACAUUUUAAAAGCAUUACCAGUCACUUUGGAAAUUUUCAAGUAAAAUGGUCAUCAAAUAUUAUCUCUGCCAGUUUGAACAAAUGGGUACAUACAUUUCUUGCCCAACUCUUAUUUAAAAUACGCGUUCUCAAAUCUGGAGAUGAGUAGAUUUGUAGCAACCCUUUAAUGGUGAUGGACAGUGCCCUUUUUUUUUAAAAAAAAAGAGUACUGACCAAAUCUCUUAACAAUACACGUGAAGUUUUCUUUCUAGGAAUUCUCCCCUCUGCUGGAGAGACAGGCAAGGCAACACACAGACAUUCUAUAGGAUAUGCGGAGACAGAAGGGGUUACAAAAGAGCAAGCACAUGGAAGCAUGUCAGGACACACCAUAGGAUGGAAAGCAGAUGACAACUUCCAGGGUGACCCAUUUGGAAGACAGCAAUGCAUCUGCUCUACUCUCAUUGAAGGAGAUGAAGCAUCCCACAAAGGAUGCUUGCAAAGAACCUAUUGGGAUAUUACAACUCAGUGAAUGACCAGCAGAUCUCUUGGCAGAUCAUAAGAUAUUAGAAAUCCACAGGUAGCUUAAGAAACAUUCAUACAAAAGCAAAUACCUAUAAUCCUUUCUCAAGCACAGAGACUGAAGAACGGAGAAUUUCUCUUAGGCUCUGGUUGGCCACUUCUUCCUCAGUUCGUAAGCACAAGAGGCAUAGUCACAGACAAAAAAUGGCAAAUGAUUCAUCUACUUUUUCUUUUCUUCAAGAAAACUGACACUUUGAAAAAUAAGGAAUAAGCUUAUUUCACUGUUACAGUCCAAAAGCAGCUCACGUAGCAUCAUGCGGUAGCUAGUAGUGGUAACUGAGUAGAAGAAGCAAAUGCAGACUAAGACUGCUGAGCUUCAGCUUGUUUAGGGGGCUAGCAGGCAGCAUCCCAUGGGAGGGUGCCCUGCAGGGACCACGCAGAGCUGGUCAGUCUUCUCCACAGAAUCACAGAGUCAUUCAGGCCAGCUGCAGGACACUGCCUACAUGAGUUUUGAUAAUCUCUACAGAAACUGUGGGUAAUUUUAACUUGGACUAUGAAUUAAACCUAAUUUAAACUUAAUCCUUGCUGCUUCAUUUCUGGCAGCGCCUCUUAAGUAUUUGUCUGAAUUCUUUUGUACCACUGUGGGAGCUUUUUCUUGGAGGGGCUGUCAGUUUUCAGAACAGAACCUGCAUUGUCAUGACAAUUUUAAUGAUGGAAUCAAUUAACAGAUAGACUUCAUUUAGGUUACAACUGGUUUUGUAAAGAAAACAGUGGCUACCUAUUAGAGCACUUGUGGGGGAGUGUUGUUUUGCUAUUGUUCUUAGUUUUCUAUAUCUAUAGGCAGUUUAUAAAAGUGUAAAUGAUAUUCUGAAAUAGAGAUACUUCAAGAUGCUGUUAAAAAUGGUCUCAUUUUGACAACUGGUAGUUAUAAAAAAGUUUUACAAAUUUUUUGACACUCACUUGCAUUAGGAGAAAAAACUGUAUUAGCAAAAUGGAAGAUAAGAGAGUAGCAGUCAUUUUCUACAACAUCCACCGCAGUCUUUAUUCAAGAAGUAAUAUAAAGGGGACUAAAAAUAAUUUAGCGUAGGGAAGUGGACUAGAUGACUACUUAAUGGCACUUCCUGUACAGUAUUUCUGUACUUUCUUUGUCAGGAGAUCAUAUUAUUACAGACCUGAGAAGUCUUCCAUCACAAGCCCUUGCCUAUUGAAACAGACUGAGAUAUCUUUAAUUAGAACAUCCUUUUUUAGCUGACAGAGAUCCAAAGAAUAGCUAGAUUCAAAAAUAAGUUUACAUUUGCUGUGGUGCAGCAGCUCACCUGAUUGAUGGCAAUACUGGAAAUAUAUUUAAAAAAUGAAGCAAAAUGGCAAGGGUAUGUAUUCAUUUCAGAGGGAUUUCUCUUUCUUGGCUUAAGACUGUAUCUUUUUAAAGAUACAAAAUUAAAAUAUUUCACUAUUUGAUUGCACAUAAUCUCACAAUUAGAAUAUUUAGACACUGUGAGUUGGAGUCUUGAUUAAAGAAUUGAGCAGAAAGUGAAUUAAGGUUGUGGAUUCAGCUGUAGAAACUAACCAUAAGUAUCCACACAUUCUUAGAGGCUUGAAUCCCAGUGCUAUGACAGUGUGAACGUUGUUGGGGACUGGAUAUAGUAUUAUCCUAGUGCUAACUCUAUUUUCUCCUUUUUGAGAAAGGAUUUUCCACCAAGAUUAUGACUGCCAAGUUUCCUACACUGUUUUUAACCCUCAGAUAUUUUAAAGGAUCCCUUUUCCUCAACACAAGCUAUAGAAGGGAUGGUUUGGCUCUGGGACCACAUAUGUGCACAUUACCGCAGCACUUUGACAACUGGUAGUUUGAAGAUCACAGUUCAGAAACCCUAAUAUGAGCAAACAACUUUGUUCUCUAUUUACUGCAUUCAUUUAGUUAGCCACAUUGUAAAGUUAUAUAGCACACCAUCCAUGAUCUUUUAGAUGAAACAUGACACUCUUUAAAUAAUGCUUUGUACUGAAACAUUUAUUCCUUUAAGGGUGGGAGAAGCUUACAUAACUGCCUUUAUUUAUCUUUGGUACCUGAUCUUUUCCUUUAUAUUUUUAAAAUAUCCAGCUAGCCCAGCUGAUGGUUAGAUAAGUAGACAUUCAGCCAUAUGCCUUUUAGACAAAAACUUUGAACAUCAUUUUCUUUUCUUAAUUUGAAAUGGAUGAUGGAUAAAAUGCAUGAGAGAAGUCAGAUUUUUCUGCCAAAUCCAGCAUAGUGGAAACCUUCUUGUAUAAUGAAGUGUUAACUAAGUCAUGCUUUUGCAGAAUGAUUUAAAGUGUGACUCCACCACCAAGAGACUGUUAAAAAAAAGCAGGGCUCCAUGGUGUCUCAGUAAUUCCAGCGUAAGAUGUGCUGAGUUUGCAAGGAAAAAAGGUGGGAAUGUUUGGUUUGGGAAUUUUUCUCCUCCUAAUUUCCAGUUCCCUAAACUCCUCCUUUGGGCUUUUUUGCAUCUCAUGCAUCAUUAGCUGGAAUAAAUUAUCAUCAGACCAAAUUGCAUGAUCAGCUACAGCUGAGUUGGCAGUUGAGGGAGAAAGGGAGAAAGACAGAAAGACUUUAACCUGCAGCAUAGGCAGAUUUAAUAAGAAAUAACUGAUAAAGAAAAUAGUCACUACACUAGAGCACUUUUUACAAAAUAAUCUUUCAGAAGAGAAUCAGGAAAACAAAAUAAUGAGAUCUAAAAAGCAUGUGUAAAAAUAUGCACGAUAGCCUAGUUUCAGGAAAAGUCAAUACAAUGAGAUAUUCCAGUUCUAUGGGUAAAUAGAACACAGUUCUAUAAAAAAGCACUAAAAAAAAACUAGACCAACCAGGAAACUGAGAAAUACACAGAAAAGUACAAAAAUAGAAAACUUUGAAUAAUCUGAAGCAUUAAACCAAACACUACUAUGUGGAAUUUGCUCUCCAGAAUCAGUUACUACAUUACAAAAACAGACACUUUGUUCUGAACUAAAAAACUCGCUGCCUUGUAAGACUGACAUAACGCUUGCACAUCCCUGGCUUAAGAACUCAUGCAGCUCCUGCUCCAUGCCUAUCUCAGCAAGUUUUGCUAACCAGUGAAAAGCAGGGCUCAGCACACAAACACAGUGCUACCGUCUAUCCCCAUCACACGACAUGGGACCACCACACUAAAACAGCAGAAGAACACGAGGGGUGAUUUUCCAGGGCAGGGCAGAUAAGGACCCUGCUGCCUCCCUUCCUUCCCCAUUCCUCACUGCUCGAGCAGAGGCAGAGCCACAGCAGAAGGUCACUGCUGCAGUGUGGAGGAGAAACAGGGUGAGACAGGCUGGGAUUGCAACAUGCUGCCAUGUUAUUAUUAAUGUUGGGAGACAUCCAUGCUAACUGGAGCAUUUUCUCAGUAAUUUAUGUGUUAUGCCAGAAUGUUUUGCUACAGUUUGAUUCAAAAUAUUUAAAGUAUUUUUAAUUAAUGAGGACCUGCAAAGGAAAAAAGCUGUAUUCAUGCAAGGGAAUUAGAAAACACAGAAGUUCUGGUGUCACCACCAGGAUCCCAAGGAGCUAAAGAAAAUAUUGUUAAAUGAGGCAUAGGGCUGUUUGUAACUAGACUUAGGUGUUGGUGUAAAUACUUAGAGCAAGCUAGAUCAAUGCAAAUAUGAAGUAAAAACAGAAGUAGAACAUUAAACAGGCUAUAGCAGCACUAUAAAAAUAUAUAUAUUCAAGAUAAACUCUGACUGCAAAGCAUUCGGGCCCUGAUAUAGUCUGCCUAAAUUAGACAGCUGAGCUGAUAACCAACAUUAUUCCCACUAACCAGGUGAAAUUUAGGCUUGAUUAAUCUAUUCCUUAGCACCUGCUUGUUGGAGGCAGAAGUAAAGAGCUAUACAGAGCAGAACUAAGUAUUUUCUGUCUAGCAUUCUAUUUAGCCUGUAGAAAGGUGCUCAAGGCUGAUUUGAUUCAGGAAAGCUGAAAAUAAGCAGUUUUCAGGUUAAAUACCUCUUAAAUAUCUCUAAAUAUCAUGCUAGAAGGGUACUACAGAAUCCCUUCACAUUGAGGAAUCUGACUGCAAAGGCCUUACCAUCAGAUGGUAGAGAUGAAAUCCCAAACCCAUUAAGUAGUUUUAAGGAAGAAAGUUGGAGGAGAAGACAGGAGAUGUUGACUCCUCUAAGUUUCCAAAGGCCUGGAGGGAGCAAUAUAAGCUCCUGCUUUCAAAUUAUGAAAGGGCAUCUAAUUCCCAGGUGGGGACCAAGGCUCCUCAAAUUUGGAGGUAAACCACUCUCUUUGUCUACAAAACCCUCCUGUUAAAAGUAGAUGCUAAGCCUUCAUAAUCAAGCAAGAGCUUCUUUCCACGGAUCAAGUUGGUAACAGCUAUUUUCCUGAAAAACGAAGUAGCAUUCUCAUAAUGCUACUAGUAAAAUACUUUAAAGACUGUAAACUAUCUCAAAGCACACUUAUAAAGUGUUUUCUACUGCUGUUUGUAAUUCAGUCAAAGUGAUGUAUAUACAUACAAGAAGCUCUAGAGAUCGGAUGCAGUUUUUCUUCAGCUAUUUUUUGCUUUUUUCUUGUUCUAGUUUUGUAUCUGAGCUCUGCGUUGCAGAGCAACUAGAGAUUACAAAAGCUAUCUGGUAUUUCCUAGGAAUAGAUAGUAUUCGGACGAAUACUUCUCUUACUCCACUAAAAAACCAAAAACGUAAGGACCUUUAGAGCAUUGCUUAACCAUAAGUGUACACAGAGCUUUGUGGGAUAGAUACUACUUUGUGCUUGUGUAGUCAACUACAGCUGUGAGACACAAGAAAGAAAACUACUUGAAGCAGAAAACUUAACAAAAUAAGCUAUGGGGUUAUUCGCAAACCAAAUCCUUUAGAUUCUCACAGGACAAAAGAUGUCACAAGGGGAAAUAGUUUGUAGCGCAUAGAUGACUUAUUACGCUUUGAUGAUCCACCUAACAUCCUGCUGAGACACAAAACCAAGACCCAAAAGAAGCUUCUUGUUUGGCAGAGUGAAACAUAAUGGAAAGAGCAACAAAAUCUCAAAGUAUACCAAGUAAGGAUUUACUCAAAUACAACAACCAGCAGGUACAGAAAUAAAAGAA